rnacentral:lncRNA from 1 species
UAAUUUUUGCUUACCUGGGGAGUUUUCUAUCUGAUAGAGUACUGAGAUGGUAAUUUCCUUUACUGCUUAGGGACAGGGUUGCUCAAGAUCUAUUACAAAAUCAGGAUAAUAACAAUAUCAAAGGAACCAUCUUCCCAUUUUGACUCAAGAAAGAAAAAGUAAUGCUCAUCCAUUUAACCUCAGAGAUGUCUGAUGGCACUUUCUGCAAUCAGCACUGACAGUUCAAGGAUGAAAGGUAAUGCCAGAGAGUGAGCAGGUCUGGGGAACUGAAGAAGGAUAGACAGACCUGGGAUUACGCAGACAAGCAACCGGCAUACAGAACCCAGGCCAUGAUGUGGUUUGCCUGUCAGCUUUGCAUGUUUAGAUACAAUAAUUUCUCAACCACCUAAAGAUUCCACUGUCACGUAUUUGACACUCAGAGCUAUUUUAGAAGAUGGCGUGAAGCUCAUAAAACUAUUCCCUGGUGACUAUUACUAUUUUUAUUACUAUUACUAU